UGUUAAGAGUACAUAUAUCAUAUUUUAUAAAGAACAUAUAUUGCCGAUCUGUAUUUGACUGUUAACACUAUAUCACAGUAAUAUCACUCUGACCUUGUUUUACGGUAGGUCCCGGGAACCAGUAAAGGGCGGCGUAGUAAUGGCGACGGGAAGAAUAACUCCAGUAAGACGGGGGCGGUCGUUGGUGGAGUGUUGGGAGCCCUCUUUAUCACCGUCCUCAGCAUUGUGGUGUUUUUCUUAUACAGAUGGCAUAGAGACAAAAGGGCUAAAGUCGCCGACGACAGGCAGGCCUUCCCAUCAUCGGCAGGUCAUGUACCGACUGAGAUCUCAGCCCAGAACUCCUCUUCUCCACCCGCCUCGACAGAAAUCAACUUAACUUCCCAGUAAACAUAAUACGUCACCUGUAUUAACCGCACACAGACACUGGACAUCCAGGAGAUGUCAGGACCGGGGCAACAGUAUUCGCUUUUAUCGUUUAAUUGUUUUUGUUUUUUUUAGAUUUGUUUACGAAAUCUUCAUGCCCAUGACCUGCAUCAAAUGCAUUAUAGGAUGAGAUAGUUCUCAUACAAAAACAAAGUUAUUGUUUCAGUGAAUGUAUGCAUCUGGAAAUUAGAAACGUUCUAAGUAUUAAAUUACGAAAAAAAAUCCAACUUACGAUUUUCUUAAGUACAAUAUAAAGUUCCAAUUUGCCUGUUUUACUAAAGCGUUCGUAAGUUUUCGUCGUAAACUUAACUUUGGAAGAUUCGUAAGUUACGACGUUAUUUUAUUCGUAACUUAAUAUACUGUUCACUGUUUCUUAAUUUUACUUCUUACUUUUCUCAUAGUACGAUUUCUGUAAGAGUAAUAAGGAUGUAGAAAGAUGUAGUACGAUUUCUGUAACAAGGAUGGUAGAAAGACGGAGUACGAUUUCUGUAAGAGUAAUGAGGAUGGUAGAAAGACGGAGUACGAUUUCUGUAAGAGUAAUGAGGAUGGUAUAAAGACGGAGUACGAUUUCUGUAAGAGUAAUGAGGAUGGUAGAAAGACGGAGUACGAUUUCUGUAAUAAGGAUGGUAGAAAGACGGAGUACGAUUUCUGUAAUAAGGAUGGUAGAAAGACGUAGUACGAUUUCUGUAAGAGUAAUAAGGAUGUAGAAAGACGUUUUGAUCAAGUUUUGGUUUACAUCUUUUCUUGUACUUUACAACAAAUCAAUCUGUUCCCGUAAUAAAAAAUGAAACCAAAUAACUUUCCUCAACA